UUUACUUGAGAACCCCAAGAAAGAGAUGUGACAAAAUUUGAGUAACUACAUGCACAAAUUUUACAGAUUUUAAUAUAUUUUCUUAAUGCAAUGAGUGAAUAAUACAAGAAGAAAAAAAGAUGGAAAGUGUUGGGAGACAAUUCUACAAGAUGGCAUGUCCCACUCCCCAUCCCCAACCAGAAUAAAUAUAAAAAAGAGGAAGAAAUACGUUCCUUCAAUGUUAGAGCGGGUUCACAGUACAAAGAAAAAUGAUGAAAACGUAGGUUUCAAAGGAACACUUAAACCACAAACACAACUAUAACCAACUCCAAUAAGCCCUUUUGUGGUACACAGAAUUUUUUGUUCAAUCACAUAUUUGGCGUGCCAUGUCUUCACAACUAUCUAAGGGAAGAACACAAUUGUGACUAAUGUAUCCAUAACUGACUGAAUAUGUACAUUAGUUAUGCUUGCAUUUUCUUUGCUGUCUUCCCAUCCAUAGCUUCGUUAGAUGAGCCACUGGCCAUAUAUGGGUUCUCAACUUGAAUCUGUCACUUUCUUAUGUUUCCUCGUUCCUAUUUUUUGUACUUCAGGGGAUCCAAAGUAGUGGUGAAUGUAAAAUGAAACAAAGAUGACAAUAGCACUCAACAGCUAAAGUAGGC
rnacentral:lncRNA from 1 species